GGCCAUUAGCUCAGUGGUAGAGCAUCUGCUUUGCAUGUAAAAGGUCCCAGGUUUAGCCUCCAGCAUCUCCAGGCAGGGCUG